rnacentral:rRNA from 1 species
CCUACGGGCCGCACCAGUGGGGAAUAUUGGACAAUGGGCGAAAGCCUGAUCCAGCCAUGCCGCGUGUGUGAAGAAGGUCUUCGGAUUGUAAAGCACUUUAAGUUGGGAGGAAGGGUUGUAGAUUAAUACUCUGCAAUUUUGACGUUACCGACAGAAUAAGCACCGGCUAACUCUGUGCCAGCAGCCGCGGUAAUACAGAGGGUGCAAGCGUUAAUCGGAAUUACUGGGCGUAAAGCGCGCGUAGGUGGUUUGUUAAGUUGGAUGUGAAAUCCCCGGGCUCAACCUGGGAACUGCAUCCAAAACUGGCAAGCUAGAGUAUGGUAGAGGGUGGUGGAAUUUCCUGUGUAGCGGUGAAAUGCGUAGAUAUAGGAAGGAACACCAGUGGCGAAGGCGACCACCUGGACUGAUACUGACACUGAGGUGCGAAAGCGUGGGGAGCAAACAGGAUUAGAUACCCUCGUAGUC